rnacentral:lncRNA from 1 species
AGCUCGAGCGCCGUACCGUUGCCUACCAUGAGGCAGGGCAUGCUGUUACCGGAUGGUUCUUAGAACAUGCAGAACCAUUGUUGAAAGUGACCAUUGUUCCUCGAGGUACUGCAGCACUUGGGUUUGCGCAGUAUGUUCCAAAUGAAAACCUCCUCAUGACCAAGGAGCAGCUUUUUGAUAUGACCUGCAUGACCCUCGGUGGUAGAGCAGCUGAACAGGUAUCCAUGAAACUUCAUUAGUCGUAUAUUUGGAAGACUUUUAUUAUAUCGUCAUUCUCAAGUUCCUCGGAACUUCAUUAGUCAUCUAAUGAUAUUGUUGGUUAACAUGUUCUGGGGUGCAGGUUAUGUUGGGGAAAAUCUCGACGGGGGCCCAAAAUGAUCUGGAGAAAGUGACAAAGAUGACCUACGCCCAAGUUGCAGUCUAUGGUUUCAGUGACAAGGUGGGUCUCCUUUCUUUCCCUCAAAGGGAAGAUUCAUUUGAGAUGUCAAAGCCCUACAGCAGCAAAACUGGAGCCCUUAUUGAUGGUGAAGUGCGCGAAUGGGUGGGUAAGGCGUAUGCACGCACAGUUGAACUCGUAGAGGAACAUAAAGAGCAAAUAGCUCAAAUUGCAGAAUUGUUGCUUGAAAAGGAAGUUCUUCACCAAGAUGACCUGCUCAAGGUGUUGGGGGAAAGACCAUAUAAACCGGCUGAAGUGACCAACUAUGAUAGAUUUAAGGAAGGUUUCGAAGAGAAAAAUGAUGAGAAAACAGUGGAGACACCGCUGGUUGGGUCCGAGGAUGACGGCUCAUCACCCCUUGAGCCUCAGGUUCUGCCUACUUAGUUAUUGAGAAAGAAGUUUGUAAUUUGUACAUUGUAAUUGCUUUCCCUUGGAACUUCUGUGCUAACUAUUUCACACAUUUCAUGUAUGGUCGAAAUCUGUAUGAUACUUUAUUUGUUAUUUGGUGACAACGACCACGCGUUUUCCAUACAAAAACUAUAGAUUCAAAAAGUUGGCACUACUGCUCAAGUGCUUUUUUUUUUACUAGGAUGUAAAUUGUUGUUUAGUUGCUCAAGUUCUGGGAAGAUAAUUGGUUGCCUAUCCCGGAAAGCAACUGCCUUCGGCCAUUACAGGUGAUUUUCGGGGCAAUUCCUAAUCUACUGACUUCUUUGAUUGAAGUGGAUACUGCUACCAUGGAGAUUGGACUCGGAUUUGGAUCCUCGUCUGAUCCCCUCCCUAGGGUUCUUAGGAUCAAUGCACGUGUAUCGUUGAUCAAAAAUCAUACGGCCACAAUUUUUUUCUCUUUUUUUUUAAUAUAUUUUUCAUGCAAAACGAGGUUACUUUACUUUUAAAAAUAUAAAAAACAUUUAAUUGUAGUCGCACGAUUUUUGAUCAACAGUUCACAUGCGUUGAUCCCUAGGAUCCCCAGGGAGGGGAUCCGACGAGGAUCCAAAUCCAUUGGACUCAAUCUCUCGUACUCCUUUCUCGCGUGGCAUCUCGCUAAAUGAUUUUUUUAGUUAAAAUGAUCUUUAAAAUUUGUAUAAUUCCUCAUUUUGGUCCUUAAGAUUUGAAAUCAAUAGAAGUGGUCUUUGAGUUUGACCACCAUCAAUUAUUUUUGUCAUUCGGUGAAAAAUUAUGUUAUAUGAGGACCAAAAUGAUGCCAUCAAUUUAAUAAACAAGGCUAAAUUGGAUUAAUGGUCCCUGUGAUGAUAGGUUAAUCGGAUGAUAACGCCCGUGCUGAAAAAAUUUGGAUUUAAACCCACCGAGUAAAGUUUCAGGAUUCAAACCCAAAAUUAACUGACGUCAACUUCCGUUAACAUUUCCACCUUGGUUCUUUGAUUCUGCCUCUCCCCACCUGGUUCUUUGCAUCCCUUCUCUUUCUCAUUUUUUCUCCAGACCUUCGGCCUGGAGCAAACCAAUGGAUAUUUAUCUUCAUCCCAGCACCCAAAUCAUAGAGUCAUAGCUAUAGUUAUGGAGCAUAUGAGUUAAUUAACUAAUCAUUUUCAGCUCCAAAAUAAAAGAAAUUAAGAAAUCGGAGUCAUGAGGGCAUAGAACAGAAGACAAAGAAACUAAUCGUAGCGAAGUUGCCAAGGCAGCGAUAUACAACAAGAUUGCAGAUUUAUCCAUAGACGACGAACAACAAUAACCAGUCGAAUUGACGAACACGAGAAGAAGAAGGAGGGGAAAAGAAGGGUAAGAGAAGAUAAUACAUGGGUGAGAGAAGGGCAAAAUUUAAAAAAACGAAAACCAAGAAAAGGAUAUGAAUAUUUAUGAGAAACAAAAUCUGGGAUUAGAAGAAAUGUAGGAAAAGAAAAAGGUUUGAAAUUUUGGGGUUGGAGUUGAUGAUGGUGGUGACAAAAAUAUCUUGGAAAAAAAAAAUAGAGAGAGGAAAAGUAGCUCUUAAAAUUGAAAAUUCUAACGGAAAUGUUAAUUUUGGACUUAAAUCCUAAUGAAACUUCACUACGAGGGUUUAAAUCCGAAUUUUUUCACCAUGAGGAUUAUCUUUCUAUUAACCUAUUACCACGGGGAACAUUAAUCCAAUUUAGCCAAUAAACAAUGAACCAACAUGAUUUGACAAAAAUUGAGGGUAUUUUGAUCAUUUUGAUCAUUGUUUAAUGAAUAUUUUUACGAAAUAACCAAAAUAAUUGAUGAAUGACAAACUCAUGGACCAUUUACAUUGAUUCUAAAUCUCAGAGAUCAAAGUGAGGAAUCAUGCCAAUCCUAGAGACUAUUUUAACUAUAAAACCUUUUAAUAACCAUGUCCCCAACUCUCUUUUCUACCCUUCCUACAAGGUUGUAUUUUUGCAGGCAUCUACUUGCACACGCCACAAGUCCUCUCUGUCAGGAACAUGAAGAAUCAAUGGAGCAUCUACCUUGUUUUAGGAAUCUGUAGUCAAACUCGGAUUUGAGAGAUCCCAAUGUAGCCUGCUAAAGGAUUUUUUGAAUCCAUGCAAAUCCUAAUGUAGUCAACAAAAAGAUUUUAAAAGACUUUAAAAUCUUAGUGUAGUUACUUGAGAUUUUGAUCAACACUGUUAGAGUCCAUCCAAAUAGAAUCUCACCUCACCCUCUAGGAUUUCAAAUCCAACGACCUCCCAACUCAUUUUUCCUCUCAUUGUCUGCCAGCCACUUUGUUUUCUUUAUCUUCUUCCUUCAUCUCUGCAUUUUUUCUUCAAUUCGUUGAUGGGUCACAUUAUUUGUGAAAGAUGAUGCUGGGUCGCAUCGCAUCAUUUCUCAUAUAUAGUGUAGCUGGGUCCCAAUUUUCACAUCUUCACUUUUUUUUCCCGCACGGCGAUCAACUCUCGUUCUUCAUCCUUUUUAGUUUUUCCACUAAUCUUUGGGGAUUUUUCCGAGUCUUUUCUUCCUUUCUAAUUUCAUGGAAUGAUGGUGUUGAUUUCACCAUUUGUAAUAUUUAUUUUGUAAUUUUUAUCGGAACGUCGAACAGAGAUUUGGUGGGUAAUGGUGAAUUUCCCAAGGGUGGCGGUGGCGGUGGCGGUUGGAGUGCAAAAGUGGUGAAGAGCAACGGUUGCUCUCGUCUGUCUGUUGGGUUACCAUCUCCAUUGCCUUAAUGUUAUAAUCGUGAUUAUCUUAAUCAUAGUAUUGGUUAUUAAUUAAGGGAUUACUUGUAUUUAGGGAGAGUUUGUUAGAAUAUGCCAGCUGGCAGUGGGCUCUAUGAUGUUAUAAAUGGACCAAAUUAUAAAGAAAAUGUUCUAGGGAUCUCGUAAUUAUUUCCGUUCAUCGUACAUCGUACGGUCAUAAAUUAUUUAAAAUUUUAAAUUAAAUAUAAAUAGUAUCUAACGAAAACUAACCGCAUAAUAUACGAUAAACGGACAUGAUUACAUGAUCCUUCGAAUCCCAGGAUUCCAAAAAAGGGAUCCAGUGAGAUCAUUUUCCAAAUUAUAAGUGCUUUGCCCAACGGCUAUAUGAAUAAACAAAUAUAUUACAAAAAUAUACUGGAGCUUGUUCUCCUUCUUCUCUACUCAUGCAUAAGCCAUGGUUCACCUGCAUUAACAGGUCAAGGUUGAAUUAAGAUCUAACACCUAAAAAUCCACCAAAAUCAUAAACCAAAUCAACAGAAAUCCCUAAAAAUCCAUAUGGAAUUUGUACGAGUUUUCCAAUCCCACAGCCGCCGUGCUUAGAACUGUCAGUUCGGUGUCAGAUUUUGCCAGCAUUUGUCGUCCGCCCCAGGCACCUCAAAGUCCUUGUGUUAAAAUUCAUGGAUAUCAUUUGACCAGAAAGAAAAUACGCACAAACUAAUUUAACAAAACGAAAAAAAAAAAAAAAUCUGAUUUUUCGAAAUGGGUUCAUCGAAUCAGCUCGAGAAGUAAAAUUUCAGUCUAAACGAUUCUGGGAAGCAAAAUUUCAGUCUCUCUCCCCGCCUAAGACAUCAAAGUUAUGAUUUUUACUCGGAUUGGUCGCUCCGUUUCUCGUUCUUCUCGCUUCGGGGUAAGCUUCCCAAUCUCUUUUUUUUUUUUUUUUUCGAUUUUUAAUUUAAUUUUUGGUUUAAAUUUAGGAAAACUAAUGAAAAUGGCUUGAAAACUUUGAGUUUUAAUGAUAAGGACAAAAUAAAGGGUAAAGUGAAUAGUACCAGGAUUGACUUUUUAGUGUAAAAAUGUGGUUUUUCGUUAAAGUAAACAGUACCGGGAGCUUUUCGUUAAAGUUCCCUUUAAAUUUUGAUGGUAGAAUUUGUUGAAUGGAAGAGGGCGAUCGGCGGGUCUGAUUGGGAAUGGAGGGAUUUCUGGAGUUCCCCGUUGUGGUUCGUAUCUGGGUCCGGUCGACGGGGAAUUAAGGUUUUUGAGGUCGUAUUUUGCUGCGUCAAUAGCAGCCCACAAAGCCCGCGUCUCGGAUUUCAGUUGCAUUCUUGCAAACCCUAAACUUUGCCUACACUUUUCGAGUGAAACCCCAAAGAAAAAGAGUAAGCAAUUUGCAGUUUUAUUUGACCUUGUAUUGUGGGUUUGCUAGUUAUUUUUGUUUCAGCUAAAUGAAUGUAAUAAUUGCUGUGAUUUGUGGGGAAAUAUAGUGGUUUGAUCGAGUAUGUGCUUGCGUUGCUCUUGGUGUUGCAGAUUCUGAGAACUUCCAUCCCAAGGAAAAGAAGGAAAUUCCAAAAGGGGAUGAGCAGAAAACGAAGCCGAAAGGUUAAGUUGCUGUCUUUUCAGCUGCAACGGGGCUUAUUUUCGAUACAUUUUCACUGUUAUUAUCGUUUGAAUUGAAUGUUUAUCAUAGAGUUCGACUCUCACCGUUCCCUACCUAGGCUUAGAUACCCGAACAACAAGACGCAUUUUGUAGUAAGGUGGACAUUUUAUUUAGUAGGAGUUUGUCACUGACACUGAUAAAGUACUGCAGUUUUUCUGUGUGGAAACUUGAUCAUAUGAGACUCAUCUGGGUCUGAUAGAAAAUAGUGUCAAAUUUAAAAGUCUAGGUUCUAUGUUAGAAUUUUAUACUGAAAGCUUGCCUGAUUUAAAGCUGUCUAUGUUAGUAUUUGAUUAUGCAUUUAUAAUGUCUUACGUUUCUAUUAACUUUAAUAUUAUUUCAAUUUCAGACGAAUCAAAGACGGAUAAUCAGAAAUUUUUCUUGAGACACGCUCCCAAUUUAAUCAUCCUGCUAUCAGCCAUUAUGAUAUUACUCUCCAUCUUGCUAAUUUAUGUUGUUAAACAAAUAGAGGUUAGUGUAUACACAAAUAUGUGAUCUCUUUUUUUUUUUUUUGAAUUGUCUUGCUAUAUUUGUUUCUCCAUUUUAGGUUUUGUGAAUGGUGUUUAUGUAACUACCGGCCCAUAUCGUAUGAUUUCUUGUUUUGAUGUGAUAUAAAGCCGAGUCGACUCUAAGGAAAAUGUUUUAGAGUCCAACUAUUUCCACGUUGAAUCCCAUACAUGCAUUGAAUCCCCUACAUGCGAGAAGAGAGAAUUGGGAAGGUCGUUUGGUUGCUUAACAUCCAAAUCAGUAAAUUCAUUAAAAUGUAUCUGUGACCCUAAUGUUUUGUGACCCUAAUUACUGAGAAAAUACCCGUUCACUUCCAAAUCAGUAAAUUCAUUAAAAUGUAUCUGUGUAAGAAUCUUGUGAAAUAUUUGAGUCCUGUUCGUAAUCGCUUUUUUGGUAUCCCUCUGUUUUAUGUUUAUGGUAGUUUCUCUAUACCAGAAAGAAGUUCGCUACUCACAUGAUCUGCAAUUUUGUUCUUUGCAGAUAAGUGUGCAAGAGAUGCAGAUAAGUUUCCAAGAGUUUAAAAACCAACUUCUGGAACCGGGCUUAGUGGAUAAUAUAGUUGUCUUUGAUAAAUUAAUUGCACUCGUGUAUGUGCGUAGCUCGCCACGCAGUCAGACAAGUGAGGAAGUUGUCCAAGGGCCUGAUAUCCAUGUUCCUGCAAAACGGGGCGAGUGCAAGUACUUUAUUAUUGGAAGUAUUGAAUCUUUUGAGAAGAGGUUGGAGGAUGCCCAGGAAGCAUUGGGAAUAGACAGUCAUGAUUUCGUUCCUGUUGCAUAUGGCUCUAAUAUGGUUUGGUUCCUAGAAUUGAUGAGAUUUUUACCUACACUACCUAUACUACUGCUUUUGGGAAGUUUCUUGUUAGUGGAGUGGAGAACGCACCGUGGACUAGGCAUUGGUGGACGAAGUGCCCGUGGAAUAUUCAAUAUAGGAAAAGCCCAAGUAACGAAAGUAGAUAAAAAUGAUAAGAACAAGGUUGGAUUUUUGUUUCCCUGGCAUUUUCUUGUCAUUAAUCUGUUGUAAUAUAUUUCCUUAAGCACUCUGUUGCACGUUUUGCAGCACUACCUGAUAUUUUUAAUUGGUACAGAUCUAUUUUAAAGAUGUUGCUGGUUGCGACGAAGCAAAGCAGGAAAUCAUGGAAUUUGUGCACUUUCUAAAGAAUCCUCAGAAAUAUGAGGAUUUGGGAGCCAAAAUUCCCAAGGGAGCUUUAUUGGUAGGGCCUCCAGGCACUGGAAAGACCCUCCUAGCAAAAGCAACCGCGGGGGAAUCUGGUGUUCCGUUUCUAUCUAUAUCUGGAUCAGACUUCAUGGAGAUGGUAGUUGGUGUUGGACCGUCUAGAGUUAGAAACUUGUUUCAGGAAGCAAGGCAAUGUGCUCCAAGUAUUAUAUUUAUUGAUGAGAUUGAUGCAAUUGGUCGAGCAAGAGGGCGUGGUGGCUUCUCAGGUUCCAAUGAUGAGCGUGAGAGUACUCUAAAUCAGUUGUUGGUAGAAAUGGAUGGCUUUGGAACAACUGCUGGAGUAGUUGUGCUUGCUGGCACCAAUAGGCCUGAUAUUUUGGACAAAGCCUUAUUAAGGCCUGGUCGAUUUGAUCGCCAAGUCUCUAUUGAUAAACCCGAUAUUAAAGGUCGUGACCAGGUAUUUCAGAUAUACUUGAAGAAGAUCAAACUUGAUCAUGAACCAUCAUAUUAUUCUCAAAGGCUUGCAGCCCUGACUCCAGGGUUUGCUGGGGCAGACAUUGCAAAUGUUUGCAAUGAAGGUGCCUUAAUUGCGGCAAGAAAUGAGAGUGAACUGGUUACAAUGCAGCAUUUUGAGGCGGCUAUAGACAGAAUUAUUGGUGGUUUGGAGAAGAAGAACAGGGUUAGUCAUUUUUGGCUCGUUCCUUUAGUUUCAUGGCAUAUGUUAACUUUGUUUCAUUUCUUAGUAAAUUUACCAUUCCCUUCCCUCUCCUCUUCUCUCCUCAAUGUCCAAAAAUGAAAGAGCAAUGCUGCAUAAUACGGGCCGGUACAGCAUUGUGUCCUCCCUACCCAGGACUCCUGUCAUUUUUAUGAUGGAAUUUGUGAUGUGCACUUUAGCUUGAGAUUUGAUUGGAAUCUUUGGAGAUAAUCAUUGCAUACCUUGUAAGAAGAAAAUACUUGGAAGGCAAACUCUUGUUAUCCAUCUUCCUAUUGGGUUUGGAUCUUAUGCGGCUAUAGCUGGCCCUUAUGUUGAGUUAGAACAGAUUCUUUUCCAUUGAUCUGGACCUUGUAGAUCCCACUUUACCUUCCAUUAUGUAGGUUUCAGUAGUGUUAAUAAAGGUCCUGAUCAAGCUUUUAGGUAGCUAAAAGGGAUUUUAUGUCUUAGAAGAGAAUGCUUUGACUAUUAACCUUAAGUGUUUUUCUUUGUUUUUGUUCUAUAUGAUUGGAAUUUUGACAUCCUUUUGCUUGUCAAACAGGUUAUAAGCAAGCUCGAGCGCCGUACUGUUGCCUACCAUGAGUCAGGGCAUGCUGUUACUGGCUGGUUCUUAGAACACGCAGAACCGUUGUUGAAAGUGACCAUUGUUCCUCGAGGUACUGCAGCACUUGGGUUUGCCCAGUAUGUUCUAAAUGAAAACCUCCUCAUGACCAAGGAGCAGCUUUUUGAUAUGACCUGCAUGACCCUCGGGGGUAGAGCAGCUGAACAGGUAUCCAAAAAACUUUAUUAGUCUUAUUUUUUGAAGACGUUUAUGAUGCAUUAUGUUUCUUAAUUCUUCUCAUUCUUCAAUCGUCAUUCUCAAGUUCCCUGGAACUUCAUUAGUCAUCUCAUGAUGUUGUUUGUUUAACAUAUUCUGGGGUGCAGGUUAUGUUGGGAAAAAUAUCUACGGUAGCCCAAAACGAUCUAGAGAAAGUGACAAAGAUGACAUACGCCCAAAUUGCAGUGCACGGUUUCAAUGACAAGGUGGGUCUCCUGUCUUUCCCUCAAAGGGAAGAAUCAUUUGAGAUGUCAAAGCCCUACAGCAGCAAGACUGGAGCCCUUAUUGACAGUGAAGUGCGCGA